UAAUUAAAAUAAUUUAAUUGGUUCACUUCAGCUAAUAAUUUUUCUCUUCCGGUUAAAUAUAAAAAUAUUUUAAAUAUUGCUCUCUAACAGCUUAAACAACAGCUUAAGUUUUUAGAAUACAAUAGUUAUUUUACAUGAUAUCAAAAUAGGAGAUUCUGAAUUCAAGUCAAAUUAGGCUUCCAGCAUAAUAAUUUUCUUUCAUUUAAUUCAAACGCAUGUCAUGAGCCGACGAUCCAGACGUAAUAGCUUACUCUUUUAGAGUGCAACGGUAGCUUUGAGCUUGAACGGAAGAAAAAGAAACACUUGUCAUAGUCAAAAUGUAUCCCGACAUAACAAUUAGGGACGCGAUUCUCAUUUGGUCCAACCUGUCCUCCGCCAUAGGACAUGACAUUGAACUCAUUUCAGCCGACAAUUUCUUCGUGAUUUACACUUUUCUAUCAAUUACGUAUCACAAUGUAAACUAAUUUGUAAAGCACUGUAAAAUUUGUUUAUGAGCAUAACAUUAU
rnacentral:lncRNA from 1 species